rnacentral:rRNA from 1 species
GUUCCCGUUGAUCCUGCGGGAGAUUGCUGCUAUGGGAGUUCGACUAAGCCAUGCAAGUCAGAGGGCUUCUUCGGAAGCACAGGCUGAAUGCUCAGUAACACGUCAAUAAUCUGCCAUUGGGUCCGGGAUAAUCUUGGGAAACUGAGUCUAAAACCGGAUAUGUAAAUGAUACUGGAAUGUUCUUUUAUUUAAAAGCAAUGCCCAAUGAUGAGUUGGCGGCUGAUUAGCUUGUUGGUAGUGUAAAGGACUACCAAGGCUUUGAUCAGUACGGGCCGUGAGAGCGGUAGCCCGGAGAAGGGUACUGAGACACUGACCCUAGCCCUACGGGGUGCAGCAGGCGCGAAACCUUUACACUGUACGCAAGUGCGAUAAGGGGACUCCCAGUGCUCAUGCUUUGCAUGGGCUUUUGUCAAGUGUAAAUAGCUUGGCGAAUAAGUGGUGGGUAAGACGGGUGCCAGCCGCCGCGGUAACACCUGCGCCACGAGUGGCAAUCGCAUUUAUUUGGCCUAAAGCGUUCGUAGCCGGAUCUGUAAGUCUUGGGUGAAAUCGUUGCGCUUAACAAAACGGCGUGCCUGAGAUACUGCUUAUCUAGGGACCGGGAGGCGUCAAGGGUAUUCCUGAGGGAGCGGUAAAAUGCUAUAAUCUCAGGAGGACCACCUGUGGCGAAGGCGCUUGACGAGAACGGGUUCGACGGUGAGGAACGAAAGCUAGGGGAGCAAACCGGAUUAGAUAUCGAAAAUCCUGCGAUGAUUUUCGGAAAUUAGUCUCGCAUUGUUUGCAGAAAACUACUGUGCGAGGUGAAAACUGAAAGUUACUUUUAUCAGGGUGCUCGACUAAUUACCCGAGUAGUCCUAGCCGUAAACGCUGUGAACUAGAUGUUGCAUAUUCUACGUGAAUGUGCAGUGUCGAAGCGAAGGUAUUAAGUUCACCGCCUGGGAAGUACGGUCGCAAGGCUGAAACUUAAAGGAAUUGGCGGGAGAGCACCACAAGGGGUGCGGCGUGCGGUUUAAUCUAACUCUACGCAGAGAAUCUCACCAGCAGCGACGGCAGAAUGAAAGUCAGAUUAAAUGUCUUACUUGACGAGCCGAGAGGUAUUGCAUGGCGGUCGUCAGCUCGUGCCGUAAGGUGUCCUCUUAAGUGAGGUAACGAGCGAGACCCAUACUCAUAAUUGCUAGCAGGUCCUUUAGGAUGUCUGAGCACCUUAUGGGGACUGCCCUGGAAACAGGGAGGAAGGUGUGGGCCACGGUACGUCUGUAUGGUCCGAAUCUGCUGGGCUACACGCGCGCAACAAUGGCAAGGACAAUGGGCUGCAACACCGAAAGGUGACGCCAAACCUCCAAACCUUGUCUUAGUUUAGAUUGAUGGCUGUAAUUCGCCCUCAUGACAACGGAAUCCCUAGUAAUCGGACUUCAUCACGGUCCGGUGAAUAUGUCCCUGCUCUUUGCACACACCGCCCGUCAAACCAACCGAGUUGGGUUUGGGUGAGAUGCAGCUUUGAGUUGCAUCAAACCCAUAUUCGGUGAGGUGGGUUAAGUCGUCACAAGGUAGCCGUAGGGGAACCUACGGCUGGAUCACCUCCU